GAAAUAAAGUCUAAAAAUACAGAAAGAUACCAUAAAAUAGAGUUUUAACACAUAAUAGGCACUAAUCUAAAUUCAAGAUCGUGUAGCACCAUGUGUGUUCGAGCCUUUACGGUCAAGCUGUGCCAAGCUUGGCUUUAGAGGUGGACUCGCCCAUGACAGUCGAGUUGGGACAAUAUGCCAUAUUUUGACACUUUUAUAUAAUAGCAAAUACAUAGUAAUAGAACGUAUCUAAGUCAGUUGAAAUUAAAUUAGAAGAAAAAAUGUGGACAGUAUGAUAACCAAUAAAUAUAUAUAUUCAAUUUACAGUAAAAUAUAUGGAGUCUUUUCUACUCUUCUAAUCUACUAAAAACUAAAUGAGAGCAAUUUAUCAAUAAGUUCCUCAUCGAUGUCUUAAGAAGAGACGAAGUUAACACGAUUAACUGGGAUUUGAACUAACUCUCGAGCUACAUCCUUCAAUUCAAG
rnacentral:lncRNA from 1 species